GACGAACGCUGGCGGCGUGCUUAACACAUGCAAGUCGAACGGAAAGGCCCUGCUUUUGUGGGUUGCUCGAGUGGCGAACGGGUGAGUAACACGUGAGUAACCUGCCCUUGACUUUGGGAUAACUUCAGGAAACUGGGGCUAAUAUCGGAUAGGAGAUCCUGAUGCAUGGUGGGGGUUGGAAAGUUUCGGCGGUUGGGGAUGUACUCGCGGCUUAUCAGCUUGUUGGUGUGGUAGUGGCUUACCAAGGCUUUGACGGGUAGCCGGCCUGAGAGGGUGACCGGCCACAUGGGGACUAAGAGACGGCCCAGACUCCUACGGGAGGCAGCAGUGGGGAAUAUUGCAGAACGGGCGGAAGCCUGAGGCAGCAACGCCGCGUGCGGGAUGACGGCCUUCUGGUUGUAAACCGCUUUCGCCUGUGACGAAGCGGGAGUGACGGUAAUGGGUAAAGAAGCACCGGCUAACUACGUG
rnacentral:rRNA from 1 species